rnacentral:lncRNA from 1 species
ACCCUCUCGAAGGAAGAGAUAUGUAAGCCUGAAAGAUGAGAAGCAGUCAUCAUAAGGAAUGGGGUGAAGAGUGACAGGACAGAGGCACCAUUGCGGAAAACUUCUGUUCUAGAACCCAAAGGAAGCCUGCAUUGGCAAGGCAGGCAGGGGUCAGGUCAGACCCUGGCAAGGAUUUGAAUUUCUUCCAAGGGCAACUGGAGCCCUUGAGAAGCUGAGGAUGUGUUUAUAAGAAGAUAGUGGCUCCUGUGUGGAGAAGAGAUUGAAGGAAUGGAAAUGUCAAAGUAGAAAGACAAUCUAAACUGAGAGCCAGGGAUGAAGGCAGAGGAGGAACUGAAACCAAACCUUCAGAGGAAUUUCUGACCGUUAUAUCAGCUAGCACAGACCCCUGGUUUUGCCACUUCUCAGAGAUUCCACAGUGCGGUACCCGCUCUGGUAGUUGCAUGAUGGAUGUGGCCUGAGAGGCUUCCCUGAGGAGGUGAGCUGACUGAGGGAAGGGACAAAGUUCCCAACAACAAAACAGUAAGCAUCUGACGGAGAACGGUGAAUUCACAGCCGGAAACGACAGCCCAGGAUGCUCAUGGCCUGGUGGAAGGGCCUUGAAAUCCAAGAACCUGCCCCCCGAGUCGGGAGGAUGAAAGAGAUUUCAACCAACAAGCAAACAGGCUCUUCUCCACACGUUUCAUGGGAUCGAACGCCUGCUCAUAGAGGUUUUCUAGAAGCUCCACAUACUUUACCACAAUGUUCCUUGUCAUGGCAGCACGGAAGAGAUGGAAAAAGGCAAGAGGGGAAUAUGCGAUAGCAGAUGUGAAAAUCAGGUGUUUCUAAGUCACUGAUACCUGUAAAGUAAUUGCAUUUGUGAUACCAGAACAGGUACUUCCAAAUAUGCAUAGAGUUCUCGCCUCAGCAGUGUGGAUACUAAAAUUGGAAAGAUAAAGAGAAGGUUGUCAUGGCCUCUGCACAGGAUGACACACAAAUUCAAGAAGCAUCCCACUUUUUUGUUCUUCAUGCACUGAACUGUACGCGUAAAAAUUGUUAAAACAGCAAACUUUAUGUUAUGUAUAUUUUACCGCAGUUAAAAAUAUGCACAGAAAUGGAUCUAGAAACAUACAUACAAACUGUUCACAUUGGCCAAUUCUUGGGAAGAAGGGUGACUUUCAGGGUUUUUUCCCUUCAAUUUUAAACCUUUUUUUGGAAAUUAUUUUAAACAUAGAAAAGUUGCAUGAGUAAAAGUAUUGCCAAUAAUACCUCUAUACUGUUUACCCAGAUUCAACUACUCUUAACACUUUAUCCAUUUGCUUCAUCAUUCCCUCGUUUUCUCUUUCUCUCUCUGCAAUCUAUGGGGAGACACUUAAAGUCCUUACAAAUAUCUUUCUCCUCAUCAAGAUUUCCUUCUGGAUUCAGCAUCCGUGGAUGAUUUCUGUUGAACUGAUCUUUACUAUGAUGGUUGCAAAAUGGGUAUUUUCCAAUGCUAGCACCCCUCCCCAUAUACCAUUUGGCACUGAGUGUUCUGCUUUAAGCAGGAACCCUCUGUAAUCCCCUCAGUUUUUUAUAUAUUUGUCACAGGCAAGGGCUCAUGAAUACCUAUUUUUUUCAAUGAUUUAUAAUUCACUAAUGUAUUUGAUUAUUUUGCUGAUCAAAUUGUCCCAGAUUUGGCUAGUGGAGUCCCUACAAGCUGGCUACUGUGUCCCUGUGAUGUGUGACCCACCUCUGCCCAUCAUGUUGAGCACUUAAUAUCUGGCAUAAAAAGAUUUUCCAGGCUUUUCUUGUACCUAUCUGCCCUGGCCCUGAAGUCAGCCAUUUCUAUGAAGAGCCUUGGUUCUUUUUAAUGGGGAAAGGCAUUAGAAACCAAGAUGUGGGUGUGAGCUAUGCUCAUUGCUUGUGGGGAGUCUUUGCUUCUUGUAUCUUUCAGUUGAGUGAAUAGAAAAUCAACAGAUAUUUAUAUGUAUACAUAUAUACACUUACAUACAAAUAUACCUAGACAUAUAUGUAUAUGCAUAGAUAAAUCAUAAACAUGUGAACAUAUACGUACUUUAGAAAUCACGAAUUCACAGAAAUAAUUUUAAUUUCCAUCCGUUCCCACAGGGAUUUUUUUCUUGCAUUCUCCUCUAUUCCAUAUUUGCACUUUUUUUUUUUUCAGUGAGGACCUUGGAUUCCUCAAACAAUACAUUCACUUAUUUGCUCAAUUGCAUAAUACAUCGAAAAUAGUUUCAGAAUUGCUUCAUCCUUGUCUCUACGCAAAACAAACCCACUGAAAAGAGUUCAGGAUUGGUUUGUAAUUUCCUCCAUGCCCAUCAGUCCGCCACAAACUGAGGGUAGAUAGUCAAAUGCCGAAUAUUAAUACCUUGCUCAGAUUCGUUCUUUCUGUUUCUAUUUCCCUCCUGUGUGGUUAUACUACCCAUUUGAAAUCUAAUUAAGCUGAUUGGUUUCAAUUUGCUCUCAUUUUACUUUCCACACCCCAUUUUUACUAACUUAAUUGAUUUUUGAGUAUAUAGAAGGUUAUCAUAUUUUCCAAAGAAAAGCUGAACAGAAAGGUAUAUUUGUGCCACUCCUUCCCAAAUCUCGCCUACCACAGUCUCCUUAUAGGUCACCAGCUUCAUGGUUUAUCCUUCUUGUGUUUCUUUUUGUACAGGUAAACAGUCACAGAUUUUCUUAUUUUUCCUGCUACUAUAUAUGCUUUUUUAAAAAACAGCUUUAUUGAGCAUAAUUUACGUGGUAUAAAAUUCACCCAUUUUAAGUGGGCAGCUAGACAAGUUUUAGUGAAUUUAUACAUUUGUGCAACCAUCACCACAAUCCUGUUUUAGAACACCACCAUCCUCCCAGGAGCUGCCCUCACGCCCAUUUGCAGACAACCCCCACUCCCAUCUCAGCCCCAAGCCACCACCCAUCUGUGUUCUGUUUCUAUUGUUUUAUUCUUUCUAUAAAUUUCAUAUCAAUGGAGUUACACAGUAUGUGGUCUUAUGUGUCUGGUUUCUUACUAGCCUCAUGCUUUUGAGGUUCAUUUGUGUUGUUGAUGGUGUCCACAGUACUCACCUUUUCGUUGGUGCGUUGUAUGGAUGUACCACAAUUCGUUUCUCGAUUGACCAGAUGAUGGAUGUUGGGAGUGUUUCCAGCUUUUUGUUUAUUGUGAAUAAUGCUGCUAUGAACAUCGGUGUGCAGGUUUUUGACAGACACGUGUUUUCAUUUCUCUUGGGUAGUUACCUUGGAGUGAAAUUGCUGUGUCAUAUGGUAAGUGUAUGUUUAACUUAUGAAACUGGCAAAUGGUUUUCCAAAGUGCCUGUAUCAUUUUACGUUCCCAUCAGCGAUGUAUUUAUAUUAAUUGUAAGCAAAUGUAUUCUCCUAAAGUUGCUGAAAGUUCUUAUCUAAGCUAGGCCAGUUAUUUAUUGUCCUUGUAAUCUUGCUCAUUUUUUACUUACUCAGCCCUUUUCUUCAUGGGUAGUUCAAAGGAAAAUCAGAUUAUUCCUUGCUGAAUUAUAAGGAAUUCAGAAUGAAUGUGACCAAAAAUAAAGACCCAGAAAGGUAUUUUCUCUCUCUUUAUAGGGAAUGGAAAGAUAUAGAUGACGUUAUUAAGAGAAGGACUUUCUAGCUUCAGUCUUUAAAAAUAAAGAUCAGUUGCAUCAGAAACCUGAGUUUACAUUCUUUCCGAUGGUAGGGCAGGGAAUGAGGUUAGUUUAUGGAAGGAAGUACUCCCCCCCCCCAUUUUUUUUCUGGUGAGGAAGAUUGGCCCUGAGCUAAUAUCUGUGCCAAUCUUCCUCUAUGUUGUAUAUGGGACACCACCACAGCAUGGCUUGAUGAGUGGUGUGUAGGUUCACACCCAGGAUCUGAACCUGCAAACCCCAGGCCACUUAACCACUACUCCACUGGACUGGCACCAGGAAGUACCUCUUUUAAUUGAUGGAUACUUGGGAAAUUGACUAAAGUUAGGGUAUGGUCAUUAACUUCAAAUUUUGAGACAUCAGAAAAGAAUUCAGAAAUCUAAAGAUUCUAAAAAGGAGAAAACUUGAUAUAGUUCCCAAGUUGUUAUUUUUAAAUAUUUUGAAAGGAGAGCUGUGAUGGUUGCAAAGAGGCAGUCCUAGAAAUGAGAGCGGCAGCUGUUCAGUUGGGCACUUCCACUGAACGUAGGAUAAAUGCCAGAUCUUCUUGCUACACCCUAAAUACACCUGGACAAAACCACAGCUCCUGGAGAACCAAAGCACACUUCAUGGCAGCCCUCGUCUAGGGUCAUCCACAGACCACACUGGGGAUGCUGCCAGCUUCAAGUUACACCCCAAGAAAAUCAGUAUCAGUUGACAGACUAGCCAGCUCAUUGCUAAAUUAACUUCAGCUAAAUUUUUAAAUAACCAAAGGUUGUCUUUAAAAAAAUCUCUCCACAUCUCUUCUCAAAGGUUUUCUCCCUGCUUCUGAUAUUCAUCUUUUUUGCCCCAUCCCAAGCGCCUGGCACAUAUAUCAUUUUGUUGAGCCUGAAUUUAGCCAAAACAGAUAUUAACCAGUAAAACUCUUGUUCAUAAAAGGUUCAUUUGAAAUUGUUAAACAUGCAUCCCGUGCUCCCUGGAAGUGAGGGACUAUUUGGGCAGUAAAGGGGUUUUCCUGGCACCCAUCGAAAUGCAUCCUAUAGGUGAGGGGUUGCUGUUUCACAGGCCCUACCCUUAUGAGGUACAUUUGUACAUGAACUACUGGUUCCAGUGUUUUUAAUUUUUAAUUUUUUUCUUUUGAGGAAGAUUAGCCCUGUGCUAACAUCUGCUGACAAUCCUCCUCUUUUUUGCUGAGGAAGACUGGCCCUGAGCUACCAUCCAUGCCCAUCUUCCUCUACUUUAUAUGUGGGAUGCCUGCCACAGCAUGGCUUGAUAAGGAGUGCAUAGACCCGCACCUGGGAUCCGAACCAGUGAACCCCGGGCCACCGAAGUGGAAUGUAUGAACCUAACUACUGUGCCACUGGGCUGGCUCCUUAAGUUUUUAAUUUUUAAGAAAGAGGAAAAUCCUCCUUGGGAGCUUAGAUUCUGUUGGGAUAAACUGAGUAAAAAUGUUUUAUAUGCCAGGAAAACAUCUGUCUAUCCAGGGAACUGUAGCUUGACAGAGGUGCGGUUAAGUGCUAAGUAAGAAAGGAGGAAAAAUGAAUACGACAGUACACAGCCAGAAAGACUGGUCGGUAAAUGUAGUUGGCAAAAUGUGCCUAGUUAUUUUGUAGCUCCUAUUUUUAAUUAGCAUUCUGUGUAGUUUUCUUAUUUUCAGAAAUUCCCUCUCUCUAGAACACACGCACAUGCACACACGCACGUAUGAGCAUGGAUUCUUGUUGUUGUUUUCCUUUUCAAAGUUCAUAGCUGCAUCAUUGCACAGAUGGAGGAUAUUGGAGAAAUGCUAUAUGGGAAACAUAAAGAUGUUAGUACUUCUGGUUUGGUUGGGUGGUGGGUUGAUUUCAGGAAGGGUCCCAAGGUGUUCACGUCUAACCCGUGUUCACGCUGGGCUUGGCCAUAUGACUUGUUCUGACCAGUGAGUGAGUAGCCAACACAACGCAGCAGACAGUGGGAAUGCUGUUAAUGCCACUGGGAUGCUGCUAACCCCCAUCUUUUCCUCUUUGUUCUUUCUUUUAUAUAUUUAUACAAAAUCACAGUUUUUACGUUUGUGACAGACAAAUAAAAUUGAUUUGUGUUCAUAACUUAGCAGUUGCCUUACUAUAGACAUUGACCAUUCCGUGGCAUUCUAGUAGUAAGAGAACUUUAUUUUUCUCUUGGAAAUCAGGCAAUGGCAUUCGACUCUCCCCUCCGUCCAGUGGUGAGUUGGUAAAUGGUCAACAACUAGUUCUCUGUAAAACAGCCCUGAUUUGUAGUGUUCUCUGGUUUCCGUGGUGUGAAUACUCCCACGUGGCUGAUUUCAAAUUACCAACAGGACUUCACUCAGUGAGGCGGUGGGAAGAGAGGCGCACACCAUUAUUAUAUUCCCACCAUGCAGGUACAAUAAUGUAAAUAACCGCCAGAGCGUAGGUAAAAAUAAAAGGUAGGAAAAUAAUUAGGAAAUGAUGAGUUUUGAGCAGUUACUCUCAUUGAUUUUAAUACAGCUUAUUGUCCAUUUAUAUUAUUUAAUUUUUAAUAACGUUUGUGUUUAACAACCCGUUUGCAGAAUUCCUGCAAAUUUAAUAAUUGGUUCUUACAAAUUAGUAUGAACAGGUUCCAGCACCUUCUCUGUCUCAUCCUACCACAGCUACACCGAUGUCUACGAAGAGGAUGGCAUGUGGGCUCCUGGAACGUUCUACCAGGGAAGCAGAGCAAAGUGGCGAGGGGGGCUGCGGGAUGGAGGACGCAGGCUCAGCCAGAAUCACGUCGUGUUUUCAUUGAGGGCUUUCUACCACUUUUUGAUGGUCGAUCCCCAGGUUUCUGGGGCAUGCUGAUUGGAUGGUGUAUGGAAACCAGCUUAGAGCAACACUCUUGUUUCCUCUGACUCACUCUUCUCUCUUUCCAACUCCUAUUGGAUACUUCUGCCUAAAAUGAGCCCAAUCUCUAAAUACCAAAUACUCAGCUGUUCUAUUUUGUAAUAUUUCAUUCUUCGAGGCCAGGGUGAGAGAACGCUGGCCCUCGAGUUCUCCCUCGGGUACCUGCUCUGAGCGCAAAGUCCACUCAGAUAAUUUCUUCAUUUAUGCUCUAGUUGUGAAAACGUUUCAUUGUUUAAUGGCAACAUGUUAAAAAGCCAUUGUUUUGCUGUUACUCUUUAAAGCUUAUGCUCCUGGCUCGUCUGAACUUUUCUCUCUUGCUUUACCUGUGUUUCUGUGUUUUUUUCCUAUUUCACUCUCCAUCUGGUCUUCCUUCUUAAUUUUUUCUUUUUCUAUUUUUUGUCUUUUCUCUCUGUGUAUUUAAUUAGUCCACAGUAUAGAACCACUGUAUACAUUUUUAUUAUUUCUUGUUUUUAUAGAAUAGAAUGUUAUAUUCUCUUAAUUUAAAUACCAC